rnacentral:rRNA from 1 species
CCCGCUCAGAAACUACAAAGGAAGUUGACGGGGGCCCGCACAAGCGGUGGAGCAUGUGGUUUAAUUCGAUGAUACGCGAGGAACCUUACCUGGGCUCAAAUGUAUGUUGACGUAUUCUGAAAGGGAUACUUCUUCGGACAAUAUACAAGGUGCUGCAUGGUUGUCGUCAGCUCGUGCCGUGAGGUGUCGGGUUAAGUCCCAUAACGAGCGCAACCCCUAUCAUUAGUUGCCAUCAGGUCAAGCUGGGGACUCUAAUGAAACUGCCUACGCAAGUAGUGAGGAAGGUGGGGAUGACGUCAAAUCAGCACGGCCCUUACGUCCAGGGCUACACACGUGCUACAAUGGCCGGUACAAAGGGCAGCUACCUGGUGACAGGAUGCUAAUCUCAAAAGCCGGUCUCAGUUCGGAUCGGAGUCUGCAACCCGACUUCCGUGAAGCUGGAAUCGCUAGUAAUCGCGCAUCAGCCAUGGCGCGGUGAAUACGUUCCCGGGCCUU